GAGACGCGUGUGGCGCACACACAUACACGACUCACGUUGUCACACAAUUGA
rnacentral:misc_RNA from 1 species